AACGAACGCUGGCGGCAUGCCUAAUACAUGCAAGUCGAACGAGACCUUCGGGUCUAGUGGCGCACGGGUGCGUAACGCGUGGGAACCUGCCCUUAGGUUCGGAAUAACUCCCGGAAAGGGGUGCUAAUACCGGAUAAUGACGUCGGACCAAAGAUUUAUCGCCCUUGGAUGGGCCCGCGUUGGAUUAGCUAGUUGGUAGGGUAAAGGCCUACCAAGGCGACGAUCCAUAGCUGGUCUGAGAGGAUGAUCAGCCACACUGGGACUGAGACACGGCCCAGACUCCUACGGGAGGCAGCAGUGGGGAAUAUUGGACAAUGGGCGAAAGCCUGAUCCAGCAAUGCCGCGUGAGUGAUGAAGGCCUUAGGGUUGUAAAGCUCUUUUACCCGGGAUGAUAAUGACAGUACCGGGAGAAUAAGCUCCGGCUAACUCCGUG
rnacentral:rRNA from 1 species